rnacentral:lncRNA from 1 species
GUUUUUAACCUUUAGGGUUGGAUGCAGUCAAGCUUUUAGUAUUUCCUUAGCCAUUUUUCUUACCAGUCUAGAAUUAACCCCUCUUUUAGGGUUAAGACUAAGCCAGCAAAAAAAAAAAAAUAGUUAUUCAUCUAUUGUAACAAAUGUUCCACUUUGAUGUGGGAUAUUUAUAGUGGGGCAGGUGGUAUAUAUGUGGUGGCAGAGGGUAUAUGAGAAAUCU